UCGGUGGGAUUUUCGUCCGUC
rnacentral:miRNA from 1 species